GAUAAACGCUGACAGAAUGCUUAACACAUGCAAGUCGAUGAGCUAAGUAAGCUUGCUUACGAGGCACAUGGCGGACGGGUGAGUAACGCGUAAAGAACUUACCCACUAGACUGGGAUAACAGAGAGAAAUUUCUGAUAACACCGGAUAAGUUAGUAGUAGGCAUCUACAACAAAUGAAAAAGAGAUUACUAGUGGAGAGCUUUGCGUCCUAUUAGCUAGUUGGUGGGGUAAAGGCCUACCAAGGCGAUGAUAGGUAGCCGGCCUGAGAGGGUGAACGGCCACAAGGGGACUGAGAUACGGCCCUUACUCCUACGGGAGGCAGCAGUGGGGAAUAUUGGACAAUGGAGGUAACUCUGAUCCAGCAAUUCUGUGUGUGCGAAGACGGUCUUCGGAUUGUAAAGCACUUUUAGUUGGGAAGAAAAAAGAUGACGGUACCAACAGAAGAAGCGACGGCUAAAUACGUGCCAGCAGCCGCGGUAAUACGUAUGUCGCUAGCGUUAUCCGGAAUUAUUGGGCUUAAAGGGCAUCUAGGCGGCAAUACAAGUUGAAGGUGAAAAGCUGUGGCUCAACCAUAGUCUUGCCUACAAAACUGUAAUGCUAGAGUACUGGAAAGGUGGGUGGAACUACACGAGUAGAGGUGAAAUUCGUAGAUAUGUGUAGGAAUGCCGAUGAUGAAGAUAACUCACUGGACAGCAACUGACGCUGAAGUGCGAAAGCUAGGGGAGCAAACAGGAUUAGAUACCCUGGUAGUCCUAGCUGUAAACGAUGAUCACUGGGUGUGGGGAGUCAAAUCUCUGUGCCGAAGCAAAAGCGAUAAGUGAUCCGCCUGGGGAGUACGUUCGCAAGAAUGAAACUCAAAGGAAUUGACGGGGGCCCGCACAAGUGGUGGAGCAUGGUGGUUUAAUUCGACGCUACGCGAGGAACCUUUACCAGAUCUUGACAUCUACGGAAGACGAAGGAGACUUUGUUGUGCCUUUAUGGAACCGUAAGACAGGUGGUGCAUGGCUGUCGACAGCUCGUGUUGUGAGAUGUUGGGUUAAGUCCCGCAACGAGCGAAACCCCUAUCAUUAGUUGCCAUCAUUAAGUUGGGGACUCUAAUGAAACUGCUAGCGAAGAGCUAGAGGAAGGUGGGGAUGACGUCAAGUCAUCAUGCCCCUUAUGAUCUGGGCUACACACGUGCUACAAUGGGUAGUACAAUGAGAAGCAAGAUGGCGACAUUAAGCAAAACUCAAAAGCUACUCUUAGUUCGGAUUGGAGUCUGCAACUCGACUCCAUGAAGUUGGAAUCACUAGUAAUCGUGAAUCAGCAAUAUCACGGUGAAUACGUUCUCGGGCCU
rnacentral:rRNA from 1 species